rnacentral:lncRNA from 1 species
AAAUCUCCUACUUCUGCUGUCAAGUCCAAGAAAAUGGGAGUUUCUUCUCCAUCACUGUCAAAGCUGCAAGAGGAGGUAUUCCAGCCAGUCUCUUCCAAGCACAGAACAGAAUCAAAUGUGACAAGGCCACAGCCAUUCAGGACCAAGGUGAAGGCUGUCAACUGGGAGCUGUGUGAAGGCUGAGAAGGUGAAGCUGGCAGACAUGCCCUCCAGAGAAGGCUGGGAGGUAGUCUGCCUGUGGGACCCCCCCAACACUGGGCAGUGGGUAGAACUGACUGUCUCGUUGGAGCAUCGAAUUGCAACUGAGCCCAUCAACAGUAGGAUUGUCAGCUGGAAAACCAGCGAUGGGCUCAAUGCUGCAACCAUGAGAAGCAAAAGCAACCACCCUGGGGGAUUAGAGUCCUUUCUUCUUAACAAGGUCCAACGUGCCACACAGAGCAAAGGUUAAAUGAAGCAGAAACUUAACAGGUGUGCACAGAACUUCAAAGACAGCAGCAGCAUUUACAGCUUAGAGAAAAACCACCACCACCAAAAUCUGCCAAAUAUUCAGAUGGGACCUCCCUUUGUGUAAGACUUUGGAAACCAGUUUUGAACAUAUCUCCACGUGAAUGGAGGUUUCCCCAUAAUACCUGAAAUGUGAAUCAAUCUGAAACAGGUUCCACUUCUUUCACAACAGCUGGAUUACUUUUGCCCAUUAAAUAUUAUCUUGUAUUUUCAAUCUAGUUUAAUACUAAUGAAGCACAACAUUCACAAGUACAUUCUUUAGAAAUGGCAUUAUAACAUAUUUUCCAUCCCCACUUUGACACAGCAGUGAAAGAGAUCUUCAAAUAUCCAGUGCAGAUGGUUGUCAAAAAGUGUGUGUUAGCCUUCAAUGCAGAAGUUUGGGUUUUAAGAGGAACAGUCCAUUGUGCUAUGUUUUACAUCUUUCCAGCUGCCCUUGAAAAGUGGAUUAUAGGCCACAUUUCACACAUCAGUGGGGAUGUUGACAAGGAAAGCCUUUGAGAAAACAUCCGAAGUUUGCUCAAAAAAACAAAACAAACAAACAAAUGGGAGAGCUCUUAAAUGCUGCAGAAGUAAUUUACUGCUUUAUGGCAUAAAUAAACAAGCACAUGUGUCAUCUAAACA